rfam:Lingula anatina scaffold1709, whole genome shotgun sequence.
GUGCAGUGAUGACAGCUGAUAUUUGCUAUCUGAUGAUUCUGAUGUCAAAAAAUCUACCACCUAGAUCUCUGAGCAC